AUCUGCAUGAAGGGUGGAGGACAUUUGAGUAAAGUCCCUGUUCCCUUGGAGAGUAGCAUCCAAAAGGUAUACGACAUGAAUGCUCACAGAUACUUGAUUACCACCUUCUUCGGGGUGGGUCUGCACAAUAUACCUCCUGGUCACCGUCGAGUAAACCAUGAAGGGUAGUGUAUGAGUUGGUUCAACCUUUUUACUUCCUGUUACUGUUACCUGGGGCAGGGAGAGGUCAAGCUUCAACAUGCAUGCAAUGAGGGACAGGACCAGGAUUCAGACCACAACACAUGGCACGGGUGAUACACCACCAGUCCUUCUACAAGAAGGCUGGGUUGAGGGCUGCCUGCACAGUGGGAGCAGGUGUGGCAACAAACUGAUAGAGACCUCAAUACCCCCUCAGCCCAAAAGUCAGUUGGCGCUGCUGAACAGGGAACCCAUGGAGCAAGGUUGACCCCUGCCUUUUUAAGCUUGUCCUGUGAUGCAGGAGAUAGCUAUCAGUCAGACACAGCAUGUAGGUAUUUAGUGUGGGGUGCAGAGUACAGAGAGUCCCAGGGGUAUCCAUUAGCAGAGCCAAUACAGGCCUAGGUUUGUGCAACUCUUGGGAGGAAGUGCCCUUCAGUGGGUAGGCAACAGUUUGACAAGUAGGGGGAAAACUUCCUUCUCCACAUGGGGCCAACUGCCACAGGUCUCUGGCUGUUUCUUGGUGAUGUCACAGUGCUACCACUUACACCACAGGGCUCAGAGCUCAUGAAAGGAGACAGUGAGAUUGGAGGGAGCACACAGAAUACACUCAGCCAUGGGAAUCUGGGGCACCAUAGAACUGAAUCUGAGACCUAGAAAACUGACACAGGCAGGGGAGGGUAAGAAGCCUGUGUGGACUUGACGAAUCAGAUGAGCCCUGAAGAAGGAGAAAGGACAAGGGAGUGGUGGCCAGAGAAUUCAAAGGCAGAACAUCUUUAAUCCUUGUUGGCAGGGUGAGGCCCUAAGGCAGAGCAGGAAAAGAGCCAGGGUUGGGGGGAGGAGGCAGGACACAUGCGUGAGUUGUCUCCAUCUGUUCGAUCCUUCAAGGGGAAAGAAUCCUUCACUUCCCCUCUGCCUAGACAGAGCCCAUCCCCUCCACCCUAGGUAGGGACCUCAGAUGCAACUCUGCUCAGCAGCCAGAGUUUGUCAAAACCUCAGGAAACAUCAGGGUCCCUUUCGUUGAGAGAAUUUGCAAUAGCUCUCAGACGACCUUGGUUGCACACGGCAUUUUUGCAGGGCGAGACACUUGCUGGGUAAAUGCUAAAAUUUAGCAUGUGCUCCUGGAAUGACCUAGGCUUUGAGUUUUUCUGAAACUCAGUCUUCUACCUGAGGCUACCUCCAUUGGCCACCCCGCCCUGGGGUUGGCAGAGGACAUGCACGCACGCACGCACGCACGCACGCACGCACGCACGCACGCACGCACGCACGCACGCACGCACGCACGCACGCACGCACGCACGCACGCACAGACUCCCUCAUGAAGGACUGGGAAGGAAGGAGAAAUCUCUGUACAUCUUGCCAUUGAGUGUCGCAGUGGAUACUCUCCAACUGUAGAUCUUCUUAGCAUUCCUGUUUUCUUUUGAAGGAAAAGAUAGACCUAUACUUAGAGAAACAGAAAAGAGAACGUUUGACUAACACUCCCUGAUUCUUCCCAUUCGGAGUAACUAUUUUCAUUUCUACAAAUUGUUUCUUAGAACUCACAUAGAGGUGAGAGUAGUUCUCCAACCUUUUAUACCAACGGAGGAACAUGUCCAUUCAAUCGGCCUCAAGCAAAUUCCUCGAGCACCAUCUUCAAGCUGUGGGAGCCUAGGGAGCCAGGCUGGAUAGACAGGUGGCUGUGGUGGUGGUGGGUGCUGUGGUGGUGAUGAGGAUAUGGUGGUUUGAAUUUACAUGAUCCCCAUAGACUCAUAGGAACUGGCACUACUGAGAGUGUGGCCUUGUUGGAGUAAAGUGUGUCACUGGGGGUGGGCUUUGGGGUCUCAGAUGCUCAAGCCAGACCUAGUGUGGUAUUCUCUUCCUGCUGCCUGCCGAUCCAGAUAUAAAACCCUCAGUUCCUUCUCCAGCACCAUGUCUGCCUGUGUGCUGCCAUGUUUCCUGCCAUGGAUGAUAAUGGAGUAAACCUCUGAACUUUAAUCCAGCCCCAGUUAAAUGUUUUCCCCAAUUAAACUGUAAGAGUCGCCGUGGUCAUAGUAUCUCUUCACAGCUAGAGAUACCGUAACUAAGAUGGUGAAGCCAUCCAUCAUACCUUCCAUCAGGGUAUGCGUGUGUGGUUGAUCUUGAAGCCCUUUCCAAGGCCAGUGUGGACUCCUCUGAGGGAGCAGAGUGGUGUCAAGUAGCAAUGCUUCUCCCGUCCCUGGAAUGGCUGGCCAGUGCUGAUGUACUUGGAAUAGAACUAAAGGCUUUGGGAGAUUGGCAAGCACAUGCUGGGGAUGUAGCCUAAUUGGUCAGCUUUUGGCUCACAUGCACGAAGCCCUGGGCUCAAUCUCUAGCACUGUAUGUCAUGGUUUGAAUAUACUUGGCCAAGGGCGUGGCACUAUUUAGAGGUGUGGUCUUGUUGGAGUAGGUGGGUCACCAUGGGUGUGGACUUUAAGACCCUAUCCUAACUGCCUGGAAGUCAGUAUUCUGCUAGCAGCCUUUAGAUAAAGAUAUAGAAUUUUCAGCUCCUGCACCAUGCCUGCCUGGACACCGCCAUGCUCCCGCCUUGAUGAUGAUGGACUGAACCUCUGGACCUGUAAGCCAGCCCCAAUUAAAUGUUGUCCUCUAUAAGACUUGCAUUGGUCAUGGUGUCUGUUCACAGCAGUAAAGCCCUAACUGAGACACUGUAUAAACUAGGUAUAAUAGCAUACACAUUUCAUCCGGGCACUUAGAAGGCAGAGGCUAGAGCAUUAGGAGUUCAAGGUCAUCCUAUGUCAAUCUUAGUCAUAUUGAGUGUGAGGCCAGCCUGGGCUAUCUGAGAAUCUUUCUUAAAGAAAGGAAGGAGGAAAUGAAGGAGGAAAGAAGGAAGGAAGGAAAGAAGGGAACAAUGAAAAACAAGGAAGGGGGCCGAGAAAAGGGAUGGUACCAGCACAGAGGUCCCUGACUUUGGCCCUAGAGAUCAGGAACAUCAUGAGAUCAGAAAUCAUGGUGAAGCCUCAGACAAGCUAAGCUGACAAGAUACCGCAGGGAUGCGUGGACUGUAUAUGCUCAGCUGGGGGCCUGGUCCAGGGCUUCAGCAAAUGGGCACUUACUCAAAACCAAGGAACCCAGACAGAAGGGCACGAGGGGAGAGAUCCACAUAUGGAUGGGCUUUGGGGAAGCCAGUGAUGCUUGGGCUCCACAGAUGGGCACUGCUGGAUCCCUAAAUCUACCACCCAUGACACAGAGUGUGGCAUGCCUUCAUCCUUUGUAGGGCCUGAGGAAGAGGAAGAAUUCUCCCCGCCCCUGCCCUGGGGUGUUGACUUAUGAUCAGGUAGCUGAUCCUUGAAAGGAAGGGAGAGACCUCACCACCGCCCUACGUGGAUGAUGGGGAAGGCUCCCAGAGAGAGGCACUGCUCCUCAUGGGUGUAUAAAAAACAAACCUAGCCCAGGAGGGUGACAGACCAACCCACCCUGUCUGGGGAGUUUCCCCCAAGGGAAGACCUGGUUAUGGUUUUACAAGUGUGGCUUAGACCCACCCCUACCUGUACCUCUGUAUCAACAUUCCAGAACCCACCACCUUCCUCCCAAAUCACCUUCUCUCCUAAACUCAAGGGGAAAAAAUGUCUAGGGUCCUGGCCUUCCAGGGUUUCCUGGGAAAUGUCAGUUCCCCUUUCUCCUGCCCACCAUUCCUAUCCAAACAGUUGCUUCUUAUAUGGAGCCUGAGUCCACUUUACUCAUAUAGAAGUCAACAGACACAGGAGGCUCAUCACCCAGGAGACAGCAGAGCAGGGUGUAGAAAAACUUGUAUUUCAAGUAAAGUAAACCUUCAAAAUUUUUGAAAAUUAUUUUUUUUGCAAAUUUUAUGCAACGUAUUUCGAUCAGGUUUAUCUACAACUCCUUUACCCAAUUUCUCUCUGUCUCCCACUCCCUACCUGUAAGAAAAAAAUUUUCUCCCAUACUAUUUAACUUUAUGCUUCUAAUAUGUGUGUGUGCGUGCGUGUGUGCCUGUGUGUGUGCCUGUAUGUGUGUGUGUGUGUGUGCAUGCAUGCGUGUGUGUGUGUGUGUGUGCACGUUUCAGCAUCUUGUCAAGUCCAGGUGUUACUCAAAAUGUACAUCCAGGACAGCUCCGGAGAAGCCACCCCCAGAUGCUCCAACCUCCCUUCACAAGCACAGCCCCUUCUACUGGAAUUUCUCCUUCCUACUCACCGAUGGUUCCAAAAACCCUGGGCAGCAAGGACCCGUGUUUGUUUAAUUUAAAAAGGGGAAACUAGACAAAGGUGAUAGGGAAGUAGAAAUAGCAUUAUUGUGAAGCAAUACUAUUGUGUGUUUCUGCUGACUUUGGGGUGCUGUAUCUCUGGGAAACCUAAGAAAAUGGGGAUGGGAUUGUAAAAAUUAAAAUUUUUUUGUUAACUCCACUACAAGCACUCAGAGACCGACUCGUACCCAGCCUGGGGGACAUGGCCUCCUGUUCCAAGAAAUAGGCUAACCACAAGUCCAUCUGGCCCAGAUUAGGGCUGGUUCAGUAGUUCUGAGAAAGACAAGAGCAGGGAAAUAGUUUGCUUAGGUAAGUUGAUUAAACUUGUGUUAUAGAUAGAGUGUGCCAAUUUGAAUGAGCCAAUGAAAUUGUUACGUGCCUACUGCUUCCCUCCUGAGUGAUUUUCUCUAUAAAAUGAGCCCCAAAAUUGAGUUCGGGGUUGAACUCCUCUGCUGCUGUGUGGGAUAUGAGUCUCGACCCCAGUGCACUGGUUCCUAUCUAUAAACCUCAUGUGAUUACAGCAAGGACGGUCUUACAUGAGCUCUUGGGGGGUCGAGUCAUCCCGAGACUUGAGUGAGGGCCUCCCCACUCGGGGGUCUUUCAGGAUGUUGUUCCAAAUGCUAAGGGUUCAUGCAUCCUGGGAUUCAUAUGUCAUCAAGUGUUUGUACACUCUGGCCCCCUGCGUAGACCAAGCCUCCCACCCACAGACCAGCUCCCUGCUUACUUUAGGAGGUUCCUCCAAGCCUGAUGCCAUUUCUGUUCUGGUCUCUGCAGGGACACUCACACCAUGACUGGGAACAGAAAGGAAGGUCACACUAGGCUGCCAGCUCCCACACGUAAUCACAAUGGCAAGGAGACCAGGAAACCCAACCCCGCAUGAACAGAAAUCCUACAGAAUGCAUGUCGAGGAUUAGAACUAUUGAAGUCUCAAACACUGAGGACAAACAUUUGGUUUUAUUUUUCAGUUAAAAACUUGUUUACUGGGUUACAAA